rnacentral:rRNA from 1 species
GACGAACGCUGGCGGCGUGCUUAACACAUGCAAGUCGAACGGAAAGGCCUGCUUUCCCUUGUGGAUUGCGGGUACUCGAGUGGCGAACGGGUGAGUAACACGUGAGUGAUCUGCCCCCAACUUGGGUAUAAGCCUGGGAAACUGGGUCUAAUUCCCGAUAGGACUGCAGGGUGGUGCCUGUGGUGGAAAACGAUUUUCUAGUUGUUGGGGAUGAGCUCGCGGCCUAUCAGCUUGUUGGUGGGGUAAUGGCCUACCAAGGCGGCGACGGGUAGCCGGCCUGAGAGGGUGGACGGCCACAUUGGGACUGAGAUACGGCCCAGACUCCUACGGGAGGCAGCAGUGGGGAAUAUUGCACAAUGGGCGGAAGCCUGAUGCAGCGACGCCGCGUGGGGGAUGACGGCCUUCGGGUUGUAAACUCCUUUCGACCGCGAGGAAGCCACCUGGUUGGAAGGGUGGUGACGGUAGUGGUAGAAGAAGCGCCGGCUAACUACGUG